rnacentral:rRNA from 1 species
AGCGAACGCUGGCGGCAGGCUUAACACAUGCAAGUCGAGCGGGCACUUCGGUGUCAGCGGCAGACGGGUGAGUAACACGUGGGAACGUACCCUUCGGUUCGGAAUAACGCUGGGAAACUAGCGCUAAUACCGGAUACGCCCUUUUGGGGAAAGGUUUACUGCCGAAGGAUCGGCCCGCGCCUGAUUAGCUAGUUGGUGGGGUAAUGGCCUACCAAGGCGACGAUCAGUAGCUGGUCUGAGAGGAUGAUCAGCCACACUGGGACUGAGACACGGCCCAGACUCCUACGGGAGGCAGCAGUGGGGAAUAUUGGACAAUGGGCGCAAGCCUGAUCCAGCCAUGCCGCGUGAGUGAUGAAGGCCUUAGGGUUGUAAAGCUCUUUUGUCCGGGACGAUAAUGACGGUACCGGAAGAAUAAGCCCCGGCUAACUUCGUG